GCCUCUGUAGCUUAAACGGUAGAGCAAGGGUUUUUAAACCUUGGGUUGUGGGUUCGAAUCCCACGGGGGGCACCU
rnacentral:tRNA from 1 species